rnacentral:tRNA from 1 species
CCUUCGAUAGCUCAGCUGGUAGAGCAGAGUACUGCAGAUCCUUCGGUCGCUGGUUCGAUUCCAUCUCGAAGGA